rnacentral:rRNA from 1 species
AUUGAACGCUGGCGGAAUGCUUUACACAUGCAAGUCGAGCGGCAGCGCGGCCUUCGGGCUGGCGGCGAGCGGCGAACGGGUGAGUAAUGCAUCGGAACAUGCCCAGUCGUGGGGGAUAACACUUCGAAAGAAGUGCUAAUACCGCAUACGUCCUGAGGGGGAAAGCGGGGGAUCGCAAGACCUCGCGCGAUUGGAGUGGCCGAUGUCAGAUUAGCUAGUUGGUGGGGUAAAGGCCUACCAAGGCGACGAUCUGUAGCUGGUCUGAGAGGAUGAUCAGCCACACUGGGACUGAGACACGGCCCAGACUCCUACGGGAGGCAGCAGUGGGGUAUUUUGGACAAUGGGGGCAACCCUGAUCCAGCCAUUCCGCGUGAGUGAAGAAGGCCUUCGGGUUGUAAAGCUCUUUCGGCAGGAACGAAACGGUGGGCUCUAACAUAGUCCGCUAAUGACGGUACCUGAAGAAGAAGCACCGGCUAACUACGUG